UACGAAGGGGGCUAGCGUUGUUCGGAAUUACUGGGCGUAAAGCGCACGUAGGCGGACAUUUAAGUCAGGGGUGAAAUCCCAGAGCUCAACUCUGGAACUGCCUUUGAUACUGGGUGUCUUGAGUAUGGAAGAGGUGAGUGGAAUUCCGAGUGUAGAGGGUGAAAUUCGUAGAUAUUCGGAGGAACACCAGUGGCGAAGGCGGCUCACUGGUCCAUUACUGACGCUGAGGUGCGAAAGCGUGG
rnacentral:rRNA from 1 species